rnacentral:rRNA from 1 species
UACGUAGGGUGCAAGCGUUAAUCGGAAUUACUGGGCGUAAAGCGUGCGCAGGCGGUUGUGCAAGACAGAUGUGAAAUCCCCGGGCUCAACCUGGGAACUGCAUUUGUGACUGCACGGCUGGAGUGCGGUAGAGGUAGCUGGAAUUCCCGGUGUAGCGGUGAAAUGCGUAGAUAUCGGGAGGAAUACCUAUGGCGAAAGCAGGCUACUGGACCGUCACUGACUCUGAUCUGCGAAAGCUAGGGGAGCAAACAGG